ACAGGCCAGCCCAGGAGGGCCAUCUGCCUGCCCACUGGACACCCUACCACUGCUGAAGGUCUCUCACUCACCUCCCGGCGGCCCUUCUCACCACUCCUUCCUCCCAACUCCUCACCUUUCAGUGGGCAGAGGUCUCAGGCGCUGAGGAGCUGAAAGACCUUCCCUGGCCAGUCCUCUGAACCUGGUUGAAACAGAUUAGAAGUUCAUUGACAAAUGUAUAAGUGUCCUCGAGGAUACUGCGACUGGCCGGAAUCCAGAGCAUUCGGAACCAUCCCACACCCGCCUCGCCACCGAGCCACCUUCUCAGAGGAAGUUAGACCGUGGAUGUCUCCUCUUGCUCCUGUAGCCCAGCCUGGCCAGCUGCCUCUACCCCAUUCCAGAAGACCAGUAGUUUGCUCCUAGAGAGUGUAAAACAGAAGACUUCUGGACUAGAGGACAGCAGACACUGCUGAGGAUUGGAAUACCAUAUGAAAGAAAGGGAAAAAAAGCUUAUAUAUCCAAUGGUAUUGGCUUAUCUUCUACAAAAAACUCUGCAGAGGCACUCAGCUCCGUUAAGGAUUUUAGUAAUUGUCUACGAUACUGUGAACACCAGGGUGACUGAGUAGGGUUGUCUGGG